ensembl:processed_transcript RIKEN cDNA E130307A14 gene
CCGCCAUUUCGCGUCUUACGGGAGAGGCGGGGGCUGCCGCGGAGAGGAUAUUUUUUGUUUUGUUUUGUUUUCACAAGAAUUGCCUGGAUGCUUCUAAAGAGGAUGUCUACCAGACCCCAUCCCGCACUAAUUAACUUAGAAGUGGGAACCCUUUUGUGGAAUACAUCAGUUAAAAUCUCAAGAAACCCUGAGGCAGAGGAUUAAGAGAUGCUAAAAAGAAGUCUGUGUGCUUAGCCUGCUCCGAACAGGAACACAGCUCUCAAAUGAAUACAAGACUGCUCACUCCUACAGAAAAUGACCUUGUUUUUGAGAGCUGCUGCUAAUUUACAGUGAGGCACUAGGUUUCUAUCCAGUGCACAUGAGCAACCAAUCCAUCUACCCAGGGCACGCCACUGAUGAGCAGCAUCGUUUAGACGGGAAGAAGUAUGGGUGGUGUUUGCUGUGUGUUAAGGAAAAUCCAGUGGCAAGCUCCAUGUU